AUGUUUUUGUUUUAUCUUGUUAAAAUAAAGGAAGGAGGACCGGAGGAACUGACUCAAAGAGCGCUGGGAGAUAAGCACGCUUCUCAUUUAGAGUAUUUUACACAAAAUAAAAAAUCAGCAGGAGGAGGAAUCCAUCCAGGGCGCACAAUCGGAGGAAAAGUCGUCAAUCAGCUGAAAUCAUCGCUGCUGGAGGAACUUAUCGCGAUGACUCCACUGAACAUCGCGUCCUGUUCUGCUUUGUUUGAAGCUCCAGACCAGGAAUGAGAUCCACCACAGUAAACAGGAGGGACCUGGAAACUGGACUUUCAGCCUGAAAACAAAUGUGAUCAGAGCAAAUAAAUAAUCUCAAGAUAACAAAAUGUAUUGUUUUAUGGAUAAAUAUCCACAAAAUGAAUUUUAUAGGAAAAUAACGGUUUGCUUAUGUUUCUGUUCAACAACCUUUAAAUAGUUCAGAUUUGACAAAUUUUUUUGUUUAAUUGUUUUGUUGAUUUUUGUUGGCAGAUUUGAAAUGAAACUGUUUGUUUAGGAUUUAUCUCAGAAAUUUGCUGUUUUUUAAUGAUGGUUGAAUGAAGUUGUUGUUUUUUCUUCAACAAAUUUCUAUUUUGGAUGAAACAACUGAAAUGCAAUAUUUUUGAUUUUUGUUUAAAAGCACCAAAAACAGAUUUAUAUAAUAAAACCUUACUAUCAGCGUGUGCAGAUAUUUAUUUCCUGGAUUAAAAUACCAACAAAUACUCACCAAUAAAGCAUGUCUGUUUGAUUUUAGUUGCUCCAAAUGGAAAACAAAAAUUAAAAUAGUCUAACUUAUUUGUUUGUGUGUGUGUGUGUGUGUGUGUGUGUGUGUGUGUGUGUGUGUGUGUNGAGAGAGAGAGAGAGAGAGAGAGAGAAAGAGAGAGAGAGAGAGAGAGAGAGAGAGAGAAAAGCUGAUCAUCUGUAAACAGUGACAGUGGACGUGAAUGUCAGAGGACAUCACUGUUGUGAGUCCGUCAAUCAGUGGUCUUUGUUGUCAUUAAGCAUACAGCGUGUGUGUGUGUGUGUGUGUGUGUGUGUGUGUGUGUGUGUGUGUGUGUGUACGGACAGAGGAGACAGACACUUUGUCAACGGGGAGGGCAUCUGUGCUGUUUGGAGAGUCACUGAACUCCUCCCUUUGACUAAACAACUGCUGCAGGAUGCUUAUAUCAGAGCAUUUGGUUGGGAGGUGUGUGUGUGUGUGUGUGUGUGUGUGUGUGUGUGUGUGUGUGUGAUAGUGAUGGUGGGGUGGGGGGAUCCACAGCUGUCUUUCAGCCAAUAUAAAAUUCAACAUAUGGUCAGAUUAGGACAAAAUCCCAUUGAAGCUCUGAGAAAACACAAAGCAAUCAGAAACAAUCUGUGGUGUCUGCGCAGCUGGGUGAACCAAAAGGGUUUAAAUGUUUUUGCUUUAUUAUUUUUUGGGUGUAUGUCAUGUUUUGUUUCUGUUUAAUAAUUAGUAUUCCUUAAAUCAUUAUCUGCUGAUGGUUGUUGGCUGUGAAAAAAGUUAACUUUUUACUAGAAACAUGAACUCUAUUGUUUGUUUUUGCACUUUUUAUAAUAAAUAUGUCCUUUUGUGCAACAUUUUAGCACCUCUUAAUAUAUUACAUCCCAUGGAGGUAAUUUAGUCUUAUCCUGGUUAUGUGUUUCUCUGUGCGCUUGUUUAAUACCUUUUUUGUUUGUUUUCAUGUUUUCCCCUCUACCUUGAUGCAAUCACCAGCAUUGUCCAGCAAUUGGUUACCAACAUAUCUUGUGUUAUGCCAGUCCAGCAACUUGACCAGCAUCCCAACAGCUAAACCAGCCAAACACACACCAAUAUGUUAAACAUCUAUGCUGACAUGGUCUUAUUGUGGCAGUUUUGUCAUUUAUUUGUGUUUCUUCACCUUUACUUUGCCACUUUGACUGUUUUAUCUUUUGAUCACCUCUAAUCAUAAUCAGUUAUGCAUGUUGUCAUUAUUUUUGGGACUUUCUUUUGCACCUUUUCUUGCAGUAUCCUGUUUGAAGCAGCUCCAGCAGAUUGCUUUCCUUAAACUAAGUCAGAGCUGCUUUAACUUUGCAGAAUCCUGAAUCAAAAAUUUCUGAAAUCAUAAAAACAUCUCUGUCACCACCUUCUCUUGACAUUUAUGCCUCUACGGCAGACCAAACAGACAUAAUCACAGCGCUAUGGAAUGUUUUCAAUAUGGGCGUAACAUACAUAAAUACAUAAAUGAAUAUAUAUAUAUAUA
rnacentral:lncRNA from 1 species